rnacentral:rRNA from 1 species
UCUUCCGCAAUGGGCGAAAGCCUGACGGAGCAACGCCGCGUGAGGGAGGAAGGCCUUCGGGUCGUAAACCUCUGUUGUCAGGGACGAACAUGCGCGGUUCGAAGAGGGCCGCGCGCUGACGGUACCUGACGAGGAAGCCCCGGCUAACUACGUGCCAGCAGCCGCGGUAAAACGUAGGGGGCGAGCGUUGUCCGGAAUUACUGGGCGUAAAGCGCGCGUAGGCGGCUCCUUAAGUCCGGUGUGAAAGCCCGCGGCUCAACCGCGGGAGGCCACUGGAAACUGGGGGGCUUGAGGGCAGGAGAGGGGAGUGGAAUUCCCGGUGUAGCGGUGAAAUGCGUAGAGAUCGGGAGGAACACCAGUGGCGAAGGCGGCUCCCUGGCCUGUACCUGACGCUGAGGCGCGAAAGCGUGGGGAGCAAACAGG